UGAUUGUCUGCGUGGUCAUGUUGGUUCUCUGAUCUUCAGUUCCCAUGGGGGUAACGCAAGUGGGCAUAGAUUGAUGUCUGCACACACAGUAGGCUGCAUUACAAGAGAAGGACACUGGCCCUCGGAAACUUACUGGUUCAUUGCACCCUAUAAAUAAGCCUGGUUUUUGUCCCAGGGGGAAACAUUACCUCAUCCCAUUGAGGUUGCAAACAGAAACCUGAGGAAUGGCACUGGUAGAGUGGUCAGGUCCUUGCAUUUCUGGUCAAACUCAACAAAAAGAAUAAUUAGCCCAUGGAAGACUCUUCCAAUAGAAACUUUCAGAGAAGGUAUGGCCAGAAUAUCAACUGAUGCAAGAAGGUAGGGUGGCUCUGGAAAGCAGCUCAUGGACUUGGGCAUUAGAGAGAGGCUUCUGGUAAUCCUUCAAAGUGGACAUGUUUCCUGUUUGGUGUCAUUUAACUAAAUGUUCCACAAACUGGGGUUCACUGACUUCUCAUGUUUUUGGACAUAUCCUAGGAAUGUCACAGAAAAACCAAUGGACAUGGAAGCGUCAUCGAUGACACGACACGUAACUACUUUCAGCCUCAUUUCAGCGUCAUCGAUGACACGACACAUAACUACUUUCAGCCUCAUUUCAGCGUCAUCGAUGACAUGACACAUAACUACUUUCAGCCUCUAAAGAACUGACAGCAGCUAAGGAUAAUUUCUAAUGCCACAAGCUCAGGAUGGAUUUGACAAAGGAACUGCUCUGGAGAAAUAUAAUUUUUAAAGUACUGACCUUAUACUAAAAAGAAAAUAUUUGAGAAGCAAGUGGAAGAGAAUAAAAUAUUAGGGUUUGGCACUUCUGUAAGUGAGCCUAUGUGUGUGGGAAAAGUGAAGGGAUUAAAUAUAAGACCUGAAUUCCCCAUAUUUCAACUUGGAGUUGUUUAAAUUUUUUCAAACAUGUUUUUACAUUUAAAACAAAAACACCAUAAUAAUUAGAGAUAAUUAGAGAUAGUUUUUCAGUUUGCAUGACCCUGCCCAACAAGAGUCGGUCUUCACAAUCAAUUUGACCAGCAAAGUGCUCUACACCAUUUCCAAAUGCUUUUCUGUGGGCCAGUGCCAGCCUCAGUUGAGAAAUGCUAGACCAGGAGGACCAAAUUUAUUCCCCUUCUUCAAUUCCGAGCAAAAAGCAGAGUAACAGCAUGAGAACUUGGCACAGGCAGAUAAUGAUGAAGAGGAGAAAGAAUUAAUGAGGUUUAUUUAUGUACAUAGAAAUAAAUACCAUUAUGCCAAAAGUCAUAGUGUAUCAGACUUGCAGAAUUAAAAUUAAAUUGACAAACACAAAAUAUUGUAUUUUCAAAAAAAUGUUAAAUCUUACAGGUCAUUUUUUUCUUAAAGCUAAGUAGUGUGUGGCUAAUCCGAUGAAAGGACUGAAGGAUUAAUCACAUUUUGUGGUGUUAUAUUUGAUUUUGACUCAGUAAAGCUAUGUUUUGGGCAAAUAGCCAAUUGAGAAGCAAUUAUUAGACAUACAUUAGAAGCCUAAAAUAAUGCUGGUAUGAUAAAGUUAAGCUAAUGCCUAUGUUGCAAAGAGCUUUAAAGUGGAGUUUAACAGUCCCUAGAAUUUGUGGGAAUCAAAAAUUUCUAGUAAUGUAGCAUUUAACUAUAUACAAAGUAAAGUGGGA
rnacentral:lncRNA from 1 species